rnacentral:rRNA from 1 species
UACGUAGGGGGCUAGCGUUGCUCGGAAUCACUGGGCGUAAAGCGCACGUAGGCGGAUUGUUAAGUCAGGGGUGAAAUCCUGGAGCUCAACUCCAGAACUGCCUUUGAUACUGGCGAUCUCGAGUCCGGGAGAGGUGAGUGGAACUGCGAGUGUAGAGGUGAAAUUCGUAGAUAUUCGCAAGAACACCAGUGGCGAAGGCGGCUCACUGGCCCGGUACUGACGCUGAGGCACGAAAGCGUGGGGAGCAAACAGG